rnacentral:rRNA from 1 species
GACGAACGCUGGCGGCGUGCUUAACACAUGCAAGUCGAACGGAAAGGCCCUGCUUUUGUGGGGUGCUCGAGUGGCGAACGGGUGAGUAACACGCGAGUAACCUGCCCUCGACUUUGGGAUAACUUCAGGAAACUGGGGCUAAUACCGGAUAGGAGCUCCUGCUGCAUGGUGGGGGUUGGAAAGUUUCGGCGGUUGGGGAUGGACUCGCGGCUUAUCAGCUUGUUGGUGGGGUAGUGGCUUACCAAGGCUUUGACGGGUAGCCGGCCUGAGAGGGUUACCGGCCACAUUGGGACUGAGAUACGGCCCAGACUCCUACGGGAGGCAGCAGUGGGGAAUAUUGCACAAUGGGCGGAAGCCUGAUGCAGCAACGCCGCGUGCGGGAUGACGGCCUUCGGGUUGUAAACCGCUUUCGCCUGUGACGAAGCGUGAGUGACGGUAAUGGGUAAAGAAGCACCGGCUAACUACGUG